AUUGAACGCUGGCGGCAGGCCUAACACAUGCAAGUCGAGCGGAGCGGCGGACGGGUGAGUAAUGCCUAGGAAUCUGCCUGGUAGUGGGGGAUAACGUCCGGAAACGGGCGCUAAUACCGCAUACUAUCAGAUGAGCCUAGGCCGGAUGAGCUAGUUGGUGGGGUAAAGGCCUACCAAGGCGACGAUCCGUAACUGGUCUGAGAGGAUGAGCAGUCACACUGGAACUGAGACACGGUCCAGACUCCUACGGGAGGCAGCAGUGGGGAAUAUUGGACAAUGGGCGCAAGCCUGACCCAGCCAUGCCGCGUGUGUGAAGAAGUUCUUCGCGUUGUAAAUCACUAUGAGUUGGAGGGCGUUACGAACGGAAGAAGCACCGGCUAACUUCGUGCCAGCAGCCGCGGUAAUAC
rnacentral:rRNA from 1 species